CAGAGGCCAACUGAUGGGGAGGAAUGGGCUUCCCUCGCUUCUUCUCAGGCAGAGCUGAGACCCCAAGGCAUCUCCCCAAGAUGACCACAGUUGUCCCUGAAGAAGCAGUCACAGCAAGCUCACUUCACAGGAACCAAGCUGUGGGCUGAUCCUACAGACUUGAAAAGACAACUCAAAAAGAUUGUCUGUGGGGUCAGAAACAGCUCUGGAGGGGUCUGCAGAAAUUACUUUCCCAAGUCUUUGGGCUGGAAGGAACGAACAGUGCCUGACCAAGGACUUUGAGCAGGAGAGAGAUGGGAGCAGAGAGGAGCCAAGGUCUACUAUUUUCACUUCUGUCAAUUAGAUCAAAGCCCUGCCCAGAAGCUUUGAGCGCCGCUGUCAAGUCCCAUUCCUCCCCUAAACCAUCCAGGUUCCAUCUGCCUUGAAGCCAAAGGAUCUUCUUAGAUUCCUCAAGAAAAAUUCAGGCCCCGAGUUUCUCCACCAGCACUCUCCUCUCCCCGAAGGAGUGGGUGGGCUGCAUUUCUCUUCAUAUUCUAUUCCAUUCCAGACCGUCUUGGACUACCAGCCUGUCCGCCACCCCUCGGGGCCCUCCCUCCUACUCUGCCCUUGCCCGCUGAGGUCCCAAGCUGAGGAGAUGAGCCGAGCAGUAAAAAGAGAGGAGGUUUGGAAAAGCAAUGUCCUCUCAGUCUUUAAUAGGUGGCCCCCCUGGGAACCUGCUGGAAGUGGAAGUUAAUAAGCUGAAGGUGGUCACAACCAAUCUCUGCCACACUCGCACCCUACCCCACCCCAAAUCAUUCCUUUUAAUUAAUAGUGGAAGACCUUUUUAAAAAUGUAACAUGAAUUGGCUAUUUCUUGAGGCAAACAAAAGGUGGCUCUGAAGCGAUAUAUUUGUACUCGUAUAAAUUCAUUAAAAU
rnacentral:lncRNA from 1 species